rnacentral:rRNA from 1 species
AGAGUUUGAUCCUGGCUCARGACGAACGCUGGCGGCGUGCUUAACACAUGCAAGUCCGAACGGAAAGGCCCMGCUUGCUGGGUACUCGAGUGGCGAACGGGUGAGUAACACMGUGGGUGACCYCCCCUGGCACUCUGGGAUAAGCCUGGGRRACUGGGUCUAAUACCGGAUAUGACCAACUGUCGCAUGGUGGUUKGUGGAAAGCUUUUUCGGUGUGGGAUGGGCCCGCGGCCUAUCAGCUUGUUGGUGGGGUAAUGGCCUACCAAGGCGACGACGGGUAGCCGACCUGAGAGGGURAUCGGCCACACUGGGACUGAGACACGGCCCAGACUCCUACGGGAGGCAGCAGUGGGGAAUAUUGCACAAUGGGCGAAGCCUGAUGCAGCGACGCCGCGUGAGGGAUGACGCCUUCGGGUUGUAAACCUCUUUCACCAGGGSGAAGCGUGAGUGACGGUACCUGGAGAAGAAGCACCGGCCAACUACGUGCCAGCAGCCGCGGUAAUACGUAGGGUGCGAGCGUUGUCCGGAAUUACUGGGCGUAAAGAGCUCGUAGGCGGUUUGUCGCGUCGUCUGUGAAAUUCUGCAACUCAAUUGCAGGCGUGCAGSCGAUACGGGCAGACUUGAGUACUASGGGGGAGACUGGAAUYCCUGGUGUAGCGGUGAAAUGCGCAGAUAUCAGGAGGAACACCGGUGGCGAAGGCGGGUCUCUGGGUAGUAACUGACGCUGAGGAGCGAAAGCGUGGGUAGCGAACAGGAUWAGAUACCCUGGUAGUMAAUCGAAUUCCCNCSGCSCC